CAUAUCUUCCAAAUACUGAGUCAGCUUUGUAAUUUUUCUCACGUCUCCCUUGGACAAGUAUCAUGAGUACACCCAAAAUAAGAAGCCUUGAAUACUAGAAGAAUAACACUAUAAAUAACAAGAUUAAUGGGAAUAUUCAAACUUGUAGUCAUUUCAAUUUGCCAUAUACCCA
rfam:Lupinus angustifolius cultivar Tanjil chromosome LG11, whole genome shotgun sequence.